rnacentral:rRNA from 1 species
UACGUAGGGUGCGAGCGUUAAUCGGAAUUACUGGGCGUAAAGCGUGCGCAGGCGGUUUUGUAAGCCAGAUGUGAAAUCCCCGGGCUUAACCUGGGAAUGGCAUUUGGGACUGCAAGGCUUGAGUGCGGCAGAGGAGACUGGAAUUCCUGGUGUAGCAGUGAAAUGCGUAGAUAUCAGGAGGAACACCGAUGGCGAAGGCAGGUCUCUGGGCUGACACUGACGCUCAUGCA